AUAAACAUACAGCUUCAUAUCGAUAUUAUACUAAUUAUAUUAUAUUAGAAUGUUACAUUUAUAAAUAAAUUAUACUAUUAUAUAACUUAGCUAUAUAAGAAUGAUUUAAAUGUACUUAUAAAAAUAAUAAAUAUAAAAUAGAGAAUAUAAUGUAAUAUGAAUUCAUUAAUUUAUUUGUUUUUUUAAAUGUUUUUAAAUAAAUAAGACAUAAUAAUAUAA
rnacentral:sRNA from 1 species